CAAUAGCGUAUAUUUAAGUUGUUGCAGUUAAAAAGCUCGUAGUUGGAUUUCUGGACGGAGCGACCGGUCCGCUGCUGUGCGGUGUGUACUCGUGUCUGACUCUGUUCAUCCUUGUAGGGAAGCGCAUUUCGGCAUUCAGUUGUCGAGGCGGGGAACUGCAUCUUUUACUGUGAAAAAAUUAGAGUGUUUAAAGCAGGCAUUUUGCUGUGAAUACAUUAGCAUGGAAUAAUAACAUAGGACCUUGUUUCUAUUUUGUUGGUUGGAGAACUAGGUAAUGAUUAAUAGGGACAGUUGGGGGUAUUCAUAUUUAAUUGUCAGAGGUGAAAUUCUUGGAUUUAUGAAAGAUGAACUCAUGCGAAAGCAUUUACCAAGGAUGUUUUCAUUAA
rnacentral:rRNA from 1 species